AACGCACAUUGCGCCCGCUAGUAUUCUGGCGGGCAUGCCUGUUCGAGCGUCAUUUCAACCAUCAAGCGCCUGCGCUUGUGUUGGAGCCCUGCGGCUGCCGCAGGCUCCCAAACCCAGUGGCGGGCUCGUCGUCGUACCGAGUGCAGUAAACUUACCACGCUCAGGGCACGCGACGGGUGACCGGCCGUAAAACCCCCCAUUUCUCAAGGUUGACCUCGGAUCAGGUAGGAAUACCCGCUGAACUUAA
rnacentral:misc_RNA from 1 species